ACGAACGCUGGCGGCGUGCUUAACACAUGCAAGUCGAACGGAAAGGCCCUGCUUUUGUGGGGUGCUCGAGUGGCGAACGGGUGAGUAACACGUGAGUAACCUGCCCUUGACUUUGGGAUAACUUCAGGAAACUGGGGCUAAUACCGGAUAGGAGCUCCUGCUGCAUGGUGGGGGUUGGAAAGUUUCGGCGGUUGGGGAUGGACUCGCGGCUUAUCAGCUUGUUGGUGGGGUAGUGGCUUACCAAGGCUUUGACGGGUAGCCGGCCUGAGAGGGUGACCGGCCACAUUGGGACUGAGAUACGGCCCAGACUCCUACGGGAGGCAGCAGUGGGGAAUAUUGCACAAUGGGCGGAAGCCUGAUGCAGCAACGCCGCGUGCGGGAUGACGGCCUUCGGGUUGUAAACCGCUUUCGCCUGUGACGAAGCGUGAGUGACGGUAAUGGGUAAAGAGGCACCGGCUAACUACGU
rnacentral:rRNA from 1 species